rnacentral:tRNA from 1 species
GGUGGCUCAAUGGUAGAGUGCUUGCCUUGCAUGCAUGAGGCCCUGGGUUCGGUUCCUCAGCACCA